rnacentral:tRNA from 1 species
CGGGUGGUAGCGCAGAGGUCGUCGCGCUGGCCCAUCAAGGCCGGAGGACGCCGGUUCGAUUCCGGUCCAUCCGC